UUUACUUGAAUUGUAGGGUAGAAUCUUUAUUCAAGGAAGAGACAAUUAAUAAAAUUAGACAUAGGAUUUAUUUUUUGGACCAGGAUUAGAUACCCUGUUACUUUUAAUGAAAAGAUUUUGGAGUAGUAAUAUUAAUGAAAUUUAACGGAUUUGGCGGCAAGAUAGCCCCUUAGAGGAACCUGCCCUGUAAACGAUGAGCCACGAUGGACUCUACUUUUUUUGGUAAUCAGUUUGUAUAUCGCUGUUGUCAGUUAGAUUCUUGAGAAUAUUUUCGUUCAUGAAAAGUUCAUUGACUUCAAGUAAAGGUGCAGCUUAUAAGAAAGAUAGAGGUGGGUUACAUUUAUAAGAAUAAGACGGAGAGGAUGAUUGAAAUAGUCCUUGAAGGUGGAUUUAACUGUAAAACUUAAUUAGGUUUGGUGAGAGCUCUAUCUUGUGUACACACCGCCCGUCGCUCUCUUUUCAAAAC
rnacentral:rRNA from 1 species